rnacentral:misc_RNA from 1 species
AUUCAGGGAGAAAGGGUACAAUAAGGUGGCAGAGAUUGUGUUUUAUAAUCUCAGUAACUCAUCAUCGAGUCCAAUGGUGGUUAAGCAGAGUGGAGUCGCUCUGGGCAGUGGAUUCUCAAAGAAUCUCUUGACUGAUCUGUUGUAUAUUUUUUAAAAUAUUUGCAUUGUUCCAUUCCUGAUAGAUGAAUGGAAUUUUGAGAAGAGUACUGAUCUUGAAAUGUUAAUCAUAUGGUAACGAUUUUUGCUGCAAACCGCAAAGGAUGUGCAAUCUCAUGUAAGGAGUUGAUUAUACAAAUUCCCAGGGUUGCAACCUGCUCUUGCUUUGUUAGG